rnacentral:rRNA from 1 species
GAUCAACGCUGGCGGCGUGCCUAACACAUGCAAGUCGAACGCGAGAGGGGCUUCGGCCCCGAUUGAGUGGCGAACGGGUGAGUAACGCGUGGGUGACCUACCUUCGAGUGGGGGAUAACGUCCCGAAAGGGACGCUAAUACCGCAUAACAUCCUGCUUUUGAAUGGGUGGAGAUCAAAGCCGGGGAUCGCAAGACCUGGCGCUUGAUGAGGGGCCCGCGUCUGAUUAGCUAGUUGGGAGGUAACGGCCCACCAAGGCAACGAUCAGUAUCCGGCCUGAGAGGGCGGACGGACACACUGGGACUGAGACACGGCCCAGACUCCUACGGGAGGCAGCAGUGGGGAAUUGUUCGCAAUGGGCGCAAGCCUGACGACGCAACGCCGCGUGGAGGAUGAAGGUCUUCGGAUUGUAAACUCCUGUUGCCCGGGACGAAUGGCUCCGACCUAACACGUCGGAGUGUGACGGUACCGGGUGAGGA